AACGUAGGAAGCAAACGUUAUCCGGAAUUAUUGGGCGUAAAGCGCGCGCAGGCGGUCCCUUAAGUCUGAUGUGAAAGCCCACGGCUCAACCGUGGAGGGUCAUUGGAAACUGAGAGACUUGAGUGCAGAAGAGGAGAGUGGAAUUCCACGUGUAGCGGUGAAAUGCGUAGAUAUGUGGAGGAACACCAGUGGCGAAGGCGACUCUCUGGUCUGUAACUGACGCUGAGGCGCGAAAGCGUGGGGAGCAAACAGG
rnacentral:misc_RNA from 1 species